AUCACGAAACCCUAUUGAAUUCUAAAUAAAGUAUGUUAUCCGCAGCUCAAAGAAGCUAAAAGGAAAAGAGUGAGCUAACUGCAGAUCGGGCAACAUGACCGGCAACGGCAGCCAAAACUCCGGCCGAGGAAAUCCGACACCCCACCCGGCCCCUUCUUUUACCAAGCUCCCUCCAAGGCGAGGCUCGGUCAUGCUGAAUAUGACCGUUGGUACUGGGGCGUCCGCCAAGCCCAGUACUUCGUCUGCUUCCUCAAGGCAAAAUAAUUAAUGGGAUUUCAUUUCCGAUUUUCUGAUGAUGAUGAUCAAGUUGCUUUGGGUUGUUUGUAAGGUUCUGGUACUGGUGAUGUAAUAUUCGGUUAUAGUAUUUUAUCUAAAGGUUGCUUCUGCUUAAUUUCUAUGAACUGCACCUAUAUAUAUUUGUGUGUGUGUGUGUGUUUGCUUUGUCUGUCUGAUGAUGCAGAUUCAUAUUAUGGUAACCCCAGCCUCGUGUGCUGAAAGAACAACUUCAGGUCAUUACUCUCUGUGAGAGUCUCUCCCUUUUUCCCCCUUCUGUCCAGCUUUGAAAUUCAGAUCUACAUUCAUCGAUCGACAAUGGCCACGUCACGGCCAUGUCCGUACGUCCAACCUUUAAACUGCCUUCUUCACGCUUCAUUUUGCCUCAUCGGACUCAUGUAUCGGUCUUUGUUAAAUGUCUCUUUUACUUUGCAUGGUCAGAACCCUAGAUCUGAUGUCCCUGCUGCAGGACAUCAGGGACAUCAGAUCUAGGGUUCUGAUGUCGUAGGUAGGCUGUAGCUGCAGUACGUAUAUACAUCAUCUUCAUCAUCAGAAGUUACUGAUCUCGUAUACGCCGCACACAAGUAAGUACAGAUCAUCUCCGAUCCAUGCUCUCUUCCCGGCCGGCGACCCCAUUGUUGUAGCUGCACAAGUGCUCCCCAAAACAUCAUGAUUUCUCAAUACAAAUUAAGCGAACCUUACAUAGAAUGAAGGCAUUAGACAAUGGCCUAACUGGACUUACCAUUAAGCCGGCUCUUAUUUCCUGCAAUCUUUCAUGCUGUGGUCAAUCGGUAGCUGUACGUAAGUGAUGAAGAAGCCAUAUUUAGGUGCGCUAAACCUGGAAGUCGACGUUAUUAUUGAUCAUGAUCCAUUUUCGGCAGGUUGUAAUUUUCAUUUUUCAGUGCUAUACAUAUUGCGGGGUAGUAUUAAUGGAACCCUAGUAUCCAUCCUGCUGUAUGUUAUCUUCAAGUUUUUAUUAAUAAAAAUAGUUUGAUA